CUGGCCCCAUUACUGCUCCCAGCACACACUGACCUAGAGGCUUCCUUGACUGGCCCCCACUUUCCACGCGGAGCCGUCCGAGGGCUCGGAGCAGGAGAAGGCUGUCUACUCCCUCAGCAAGCGGCAGAAGAUCCUGAGGCUGGUCAGCCAGUGGGUGCUGCUCUAUGGGCCCCUGCUGCAAGCCGACCACUGUGCCAUAACCCUGCUGCAGAACCUCUCGGAUUUCGUGAGCCGGGAUCCUCGCCUGUGCAGCCUGCUCCGGGACCAGACACAGGAUCGUCGAAGGAACAGAACACUGGAGAACGGUGGCGGAAGCGCAUCUCCACAGCCCAAGGUACCGACAGCCCAGCAGCGCCGCGGGGCACCUGCUGCCCCUUCCGGGGGGCAUGGUGGGUGGGCAGGGAGCCAA
rnacentral:lncRNA from 1 species